GAGCAACUUUGGUGUUUAUGACGUCGAUAUUCGACGUCAUAAACACGAGCAACUUUGGUGUUUAUGACGUCGAAUAUCGACGUCAUAAACACGAGCA
rnacentral:miRNA from 1 species